CCUACGGGUGGCAGCAGUGGGGAAUAUUGCACAAUGGGGGAAACCCUGAUGCAGCGACGCCGCGUGAGUGAAGAAGUAUUUCGGUACGUAAAGCUCUAUCAGCAGGGAAGAAAAAAAGUCCUUUGGACUUUGGACGGUACCUGACCCAGAAGCACCGGCUAACUACGUGCCAGCAGCCGCGGUAAUACGUAGGGGGCAAGCGUUAUCCGGAUUUACUGGGUGUAAAGGGAGCGUAGACGGCAGCGCAAGUCUGGAGUGAAAUGCCGGGGCCCAACCCCGGAACUGCUUUGGAAACUGUGCAGCGGGAGUGCAGGAGAGGUAAGCGGAAUUCCUAGUGUAGCGGUGAAAUGCGUAGAUAUUAGGAGGAACACCAGUGGCGAAGGCGGCCUGCUGGACUGCAACUGACGUUGAGGCCCGAAAGCGUGGGGAGCAAACAGGAUUAGAUACCCCAGUAGUC
rnacentral:rRNA from 1 species